GUAACGGAGGCGCCCAAAGGUUCCCUCAGAAUGGUUGGAAAUCAUUCGCAGAGUGUAAAGGCACAAGGGAGCUUGACUGCGAGACCUACAAGUCGAGCAGGGACGAAAGUCGGGCUUAGUGAUCCGGUGGUUCCGCAUGGAAGGGCCAUCGCUCAACGGAUAAAAGCUACCCCGGGGAUAACAGGCUUAUCUCCCCCAAGAGUCCACAUCGACGGGGAGGUUUGGCACCUCGAUGUCGGCUCAUCGCAUCCUGGGGCUGUAGUCGGUCCCAAGGGUUGGGCUGUUCGCCCAUUAAAGCGGUACGCGAGCUGGGUUCAGAACGUCGUGAGACAGUUCGGUCCCUAUCCGUCGCGGGCGCAGGAAAUUUGAGAGGAGCUGUCCUUAGUACGAGAGGACCGGGAUGGACGCACCGCUGGUGUACCAGUUGUUCUGCCAAGGGCAUCGCUGGGUAGCUAUGUGCGGACGGGAUAAGUGCUGAAAGCAUCUAAGCAUGAAGCCCCCCUCAAGAUGAGAUUUCCCAUUCCGCAAGGAAGUAAGAUCCCUGAAAGAUGAUCAGGUUGAUAGGUCUGAGGUGGAAGUGUGGCGACACAUGGAGCUGACAGAUACUAAUCGAUCGAGGACUUAACCUA
rnacentral:rRNA from 1 species